UGUGAAGAUGCAGGUUACCCGCGACAGGACGGAAAGACCCCGUGGAGCUUUACUGCAACCUGAUAUGGAAUGUUUGUACCGCUUGUACAGGAUAGGUAGGAGCCGAAGAGACGUGUGCGCUAGCAUACGAGGAGGCAAUGGUGGGAUACUACCCUGGCUGUAUGACCAUUCUAACCCGCCACGCUUAGCGCGUGGGGAGACAGUGUCAGGUGGGCAGUUUGACUGGGG
rnacentral:rRNA from 1 species